rnacentral:pre_miRNA from 14 species
UGCCCAGAAUAAAUGUUCUCCCUGAAAGACCCCCGGAGCGGGGAGACCCUCACUCAAGUCUUGGGAUGACGCAACCCCCCAAGAACUCACAAGAGACC